UACGUAGGGGGCAAGCGUUGUCCGGAAUUAUUGGGCGUAAAGAGCGCGUAGGCGGUCCGGUAAGUCGGUUGUGAAAGUCCAGGGCUCAACCCUGGGAUGCCGGUCGAUACUGCCGGACUAGAGUUCGGAAGAGGCGAGCGGAAUUCCUGGUGUAGCGGCGAAAUGCGUAGAGAUCAGGAGGAACACCCAUGGCGAAGGCAGCUCUCUGGCUUCACCCUGACGCUGAGGCGCGAAAGCGUGGGGAGCGAACGGG
rnacentral:rRNA from 1 species